CCUCCCCUUCCACAUGUCAAUUCCCUUACCACAAUGUCACCCCCAUCCACACACUCUAACCCCAGACACCCCCCCUCUACACACACAGUCACCACCUUCACAUACACACUGUCAUCCCCUCCAUGCACUGUAACCCUCCUUAACCCCCCUAAUCCUGUCACACUCACCUUUUCUCACACUAUCACACUCAUCGGCUAUCACCCAAUCACACUCACUGUCACAUUAAGCCCUCCAAUCAUGUUACACACAUCCUGCACCUGCCAUGCCACACUGACCCUGUGAAAUAACCCCCUAAUCCUGUCACUCUGUCAUGCUCACCUCCCCUCAUCCUGUAACACUCUCUCCUCCAACUGAGCCACACUCAUCCCCAAGCCCAGUCAAUCCCCCAACCCUGCCACACUCACC